rnacentral:rRNA from 1 species
UGGCGGCGGGCUUAACACAUGCAAGUCGAGCGGUAACAGAGAGAAGCUUGCUUCUCUGCUGACGAGCGGCGGACGGGUGAGUAAUGCCUAGGAAUCUGCCUAGUAGUGGGGGAUAACUUGCCGAAAGGUAAGCUAAUACCGCAUACGUCCUACGGGAGAAAGGAGGGGACCUUCGGGCCUUUCGCUAUUAGAUGAGCCUAGGUCGGAUUAGUUAGUUGGUGAGGUAAUGGCUCACCAAGACCGCGAUCCGUAACUGGUCUGAGAGGAUGAUCAGUCACACUGGAACUGAGACACGGUCCAGACUCCUACGGGAGGCAGCAGUGGGGAAUAUUGGACAAUGGGGGAAACCCUGAUCCAGCCAUGCCGCGUGUGUGAAGAAGGUCUUAGGAUUGUAAAGCACUUUAAGUUGGGAGGAAGAGCAGUUAACUAAUAUUUGACUGUUUUGACGUUACCGACAGAAUAAGCACCGGCUAACUUCGUGCCAGCAGCCGCGGUAAUACGAAGGGUGCAAGCGUUAAUCGGAAUUACUGGGCGUAAAGCGCGCGUAGGUGGUUCAGUAAGUUAGGAGUGAAAGCCCCGGGCUUAACCUGGGAAUUGCUUCUAAAACUGCUGAGCUAGAGUACGGUAGAGGGGGGGGGAAUUUCCUGUUUACCGGUGAAAUGCGUAAAUUUAGGAAGGAACAUCCUUGGCGAAGGCGAACCCCUGGACUGAACUGACCCUGAAGUGCGAAAGCGGGGGG